rnacentral:rRNA from 1 species
UACGAAGGGGGCUAGCGUUGUUCGGAUUUACUGGGCGUAAAGAGCGCGCAGGCGGUCGUUCAAGUCGAGUGUGAAAGCCCCCGGCUCAACUGGGGAGGGUCACUCGAUACUGAUCGACUUGAAGGCAGGAGAGGGAAGCGGAAUUCCCGGUGUAGUGGUGGAAUGCGUAGAUAUCGGGAGGAACACCAGUGGCGAAGGCGGCGUCCUGGACCGGUGCUGACGCUGAGGAGCGAAAGCGUGGGGAGCGAUCCGG